rnacentral:rRNA from 1 species
AACGUAGGAGACGAACGUUAUCCGGAGUUACUGGGCGUAAAGAGCGCGCAGGCGGUCGAUCAAGUCGCGUGUGAAAGCCCCCGGCUCAACUGGGGAGGGUCACGCGAUACUGAUCGACUCGAAGGCAGGAGAGGGUAGUGGAAUUCCCGGUGUAGUGGUGAAAUGCGUAGAUAUCGGGAGGAACACCAGUGGCGAAGGCGACUACCUGGCCUGUUUCUUGACGCUGAGGCGCGAAAGCUAGGGGAGCAAACGGG